CCGCUGGCCGUGUGCACGUGCGUUCGAGCACGGGCGUGAGAGCUUUCUCCAGAGAGGUGGCACUGCAGUCCUGCCAGCACAGCCGCGUGGCUCUCUUUCCGGAGGUGUCUCCUUCCCGGGCCCACUCGCGCACCACCUUCCUCUGCUCGUGCUCGUUCGCGAGCUAGCUGGCUCACGGGCACCCGCACCAUGCAGCGUAGCGCUGGCGCCUUGCACGUGAGGUUUACCAUCUGCGGAUGCUUCCGAGAGGACCCGAGGCUGAACCUUGUUGCGUUUUGAAGUUGUUGCCCCUUAGACUGGGAAAGCAGAUUCAAAUUAAUGGAACUCUCCAACACCCAAAGGGGGAACAGACCUGAAGUAUUGUUUGCAAUAAAUGCUUCUCACUAAAUAGAAAAGCAAAUUUCUCAUAAUUCUACUCCAAAAGGGUGAAACACAUGUGUUUGAUAGACAUACAACUGUGACAAAUAACUUAGCCUUCUUUUAAAGAAAGGUACCUGUGGAACUUUCAAUAUGUUUGGUCCAGGGCACUAUUAGAUGUUACCCUGUUAGAAGAAAUGUGCCACUGUUGGGGUGGGCUUUGAGACCCCUCUCCUAGCUGCCUGGAAUACAGUCUGCUCCUUACUUCUUUUGGAUGAAGAUGUCGAACUCUCAGCUCCUCCAAUGUCAUGCCUGCCUGGAUGCAGCCAUCCUUCCUGUCAUGAUGAUAAUGGACUGAAUCACAGAACCUGUAAGCCUGCAUCAAGUCUGCAGGAUUAGGCACAUCCUUUCCCACUGAGGCUAGAUGUGGCAGCCCUCUGCUACAUAUGCGUCAGGGGCCUUGAACCAGGCUCUGUAUGCUUUUUGGAUGGUGGAUCAGUCUCUAGAAGCUCCCAGAGGUCCAGGUUAUUUGCUUUGUGGAUGAGUUUUCCAAAACUGACAGGGAAUGGAAUGCCUGAAUCCAAUUUAAUAUGGACAUGAGGGCCCCUAGGGCUUUUCCCAAUAGAAAAUAUUACCUUGCCUGUCUUUUGUUCAUCUGCAUUCAUUAGUCCAAUGUAGGCCUUUGCCAUGCCUUCUGCAUACUCCAGAAAGCUGGGGCCUUCUUUUUGGAUUAUCUCUAUGAAAAAAAAAACAAUAUUUCUAGAAAUGCCUUGCCUACAAUCUCUUUUCAUAUGAACUUGCUUAUCACAAUUAAAACAUCUGAUGUUUUUGUUUUUCUUCAAACUUUUAGAAAUUAUUUCUCCUAUCAAAGUAGCAUCAUAAACAUGAGAUCCAAUAUUGCCAUAUUUCCAGUCCAUUCAUCUAUUGGUUCUGAUGUUGCCUUGAAAGGCCUAAUCGCCCCUUUGCAUUCAGAAUUAGCAUUUUCAAAAGCCAAAGAUCUCAUUAAUAUUUGUCUGACUUCUGAAUCUGAUACUAUUUUAUUUACAGCUGAAGUCAACCUUUGCAAAAAAAAAAUAGUGAAGGCUGAUUUUGGGCCUUGCAUAAUUUCAGUAAAUGAUACAGCCCUCUUUCCUGGUUCUUCAACAUAAACAGAAACCCUAAAAUAAUGUCCUUUCUGGUAUCAUUUUGGAAGUCACCAAGGAGCAUUUCAUUCUGAUAUAAUUUUCUUUUCUUUACUAUAUCCAUGACUUAAUGUUCUAUUUUCCAAAUUUUGUGCAACUUUUUACAUUAAGUUUUAGAAUUCUAAUUUUUUUCAAUAGCCCUUUCUGGUUAUUUCAUAAAUGUAGUAUGCUCUCCAAUGUUUCUAAGAAUAUCCGAGAUUCUUUGGCAGCUUUAUGUUCAGCUUUCAUGUUGGAGUUUCCUCAAAUGUUGAGUGAUUCUUAGUUGUCAGUGUAUAUUGACUUCAAGUGACUAUAAGUUAUGUCAUAAUGAGCAGGGUUUGUAGUCUUUGGGUCUCACUGUAGCAAAUAGUUAAAUGCCAAAUUAUUGUUCAUCUUUUCUGGAUGGGUUGGGCAUGUCUGGAUAUACAUGCCCAUAACAGCCAGGUAAAGAAUGCAUGCAGGUUCACAAUGUUUUUAAUACUGGCAUUCUCAGUUUCCUUGUCCUCAACAUAGCUUUGGUCCUGUCUUUCCAUUCUCAGUUUUGUUUGGUUCAGUUUCUCCAGAAAAAUAAGCCUUCUGUAAUUUUUGUUUGUUUGUUUUUGUUUUUUAUUUUUCGAGACAGGGUUUCUCUGUGUAGCCCUGGCUGUCCUGGAACUCACUCUGUAGACCAGGCUGGCUGUGAACUCAGAAAUCCGCCUGCUUCUGCCUCCCAAGUGCUGGGAUUAAAGGCGUGCACCACCACUUUUGUUCCUCAUGCCUACUUUCAGUUGUCCCUUUAGACUUUGAAUGGUGUAGAAAGCAGCACUUGUCUUCUACAUUUGUAGACUUUUUCUUUCUCUAAACAUUUAUCUUUGCUAUUUUUAAAUUGUAUGUAUUUGUGUCUGUGUAUGUGCACAAAAAGACAUUGGAUCCCUUGGAGACAGAGUUUACAGGAGGAUGUUAGCCACCAGACAUGGGUGAGAAACCAGACAAAGGUUGUCUAUAAGAGUGCUCUUAGCCAUAGGGCCAUCUCCCUAGCUCCUUUUUUUCUGCUAUGGAAACUAAAUGAACUUAGCUGCUGGAACAUUGCUACCUACACCUUUUUCCCUAAAAGAGCUAUAAAUUGGCCUUUUCCUCAAUGAAGAAAAUAAGUACUUUAAAAGCCCACCAAUAAGGAUCAACAAAACACAACCACUUCUACGUACAAUUGAAGACAGCACUAUGAAAAUUAGAAAUGAUUUAAUUGUUAGUAUGAGUUAUUUUCACUCAAUACCAUGUCUCUUCAAUAAAGACUCUGAUCUGU
ensembl:antisense 9630001P10Rik RIKEN cDNA 9630001P10 gene